GACGAACGCUGGCGGCGUGCUUAACACAUGCAAGUCGAACGAAGAGCGAUGGAAGCUUGCUUCUAUCAAUCUUAGUGGCGAACGGGUGAGUAACGCGUAAUCAACCUGCCCUUCAGAGGGGGACAACAGUUGGAAACGACUGCUAAUACCGCAUACGAUCUAAUCUCGGCAUCGAGGAUAGAUGAAAGGUGGCCUCUACAUGUAAGCUAUCACUGAAGGAGGGGAUUGCGGCUGAUUAGCUAGUUGGAGGGGUAACGGCCCACCAAGGCGAUGAUCAGUAGCCGGUCUGGGAGGAUGAACGGCCACAUUGGGACUGAGACACGGCCCAGACUCCUACGGGAGGCAGCAGUGGGGAAUCUUCCGCAAGGGACGAAAGUCUGACGGAGCAACGCCGCGGGAGUGAGGACGGCCGUCGGGUUGUAAAGCUCUGUUAAUCGGGACGAAAGGCCUUCUUGCGAAUAGUGAGAAGGAUUGACGGUACCGGAAGAGAAAGCCACGGCUAACUACGUG
rnacentral:rRNA from 1 species